AUUAUGGCUCAGGAUGAACGCUAGCGGGAGGCUUAACACAUGCAAGUCGAGGGGCAGCACGAGGUAGCAAUACUUUGGUGGCGACCGGCGCACGGGUGAGUAACGCGUAUGCAACCUACCCUGUACAGGGGGAUAGCCCGGAGAAAUUCGGAUUAAUACCCCAUAAUGAUAUUGAGAGGCAUCUUUUAAUAUUUAAAGUUUCGACGGUACGGGAUGGGCAUGCGUGACAUUAGCUAGUUGGUAGGGUAACGGCCUACCAAGGCUGCGAUGUCUAGGGGUCCUGAGAGGGUGAUCCCCCACACUGGUACUGAGACACGGACCAGACUCCUACGGGAGGCAGCAGUGAGGAAUAUUGGUCAAUGGGCGUAAGCCUGAACCAGCCAUCCCGCGUGCAGGAAGAAGGCGCUAUGCGUCGUAAACUGCUUUUCCAGGGGAAGAAAACCUGAUACGUGUAUCGGCUUGCCGGUACCCUGGGAAUAAGCAUCGGCUAACUCCGUGCCAGCAGCCGCGGUAAUACGGAGGAUGCGAGCGUUAUCCGGAUUUAUUGGGUUUAAAGGGUGCGUAGGCGGAUUAAUAAGUCAGUGGUGAAAACCUUCAGCUUAACUGGAGACUUGCCAUUGAUACUGUUAGUCUUGAGUACGGUCAAGGUAGGCGGAAUGUGUAAUGUAGCGGUGAAAUGCUUAGAUAUUACACAGAACACCGAUUGCGAAGGCAGCUUACUGGGCCAUUACUGACGCUGAUGCACGAAAGCGUGGGGAGCGAACAGGAUUAGAUACCCUGGUAGUCUACGCCGUAAACGAUGAUCACUCGCUGUUAGCGAUACACAGUUAGCGGCUAAGCAAAAGCAUUAAGUGAUCCACCUGGGGAGUACGGCCGCAAGGCUGAAACU
rnacentral:rRNA from 1 species